rnacentral:tRNA from 1 species
ACCCGGUUGGCUCAGUCAGUGGAGAAUGUGACUCUUGAUCCCAGGGUUGUGAGUUCGAGCCCCACAUCGGGCG